UUUAAGACGAGAGUUUGAUCCUGGCUCAGGAUGAACGCUGGCGGCGUGCUUAACACAUGCAAGUCGAGCGAAGCGCCUUAUUUAGAUUCCUUCGGGAUGAAGGAUAUGGCGACUGAGCGGCGGA
rnacentral:rRNA from 1 species